rnacentral:rRNA from 1 species
CCUACGGGGGGCUGCAGUGGGGAAUAUUGGACAAUGGGCGAAAGCCUGAUCCAGCCAUGCCGCGUGUGUGAAGAAGGCCUUCGGGUUGUAAAGCACUUUCAGUGGGGAAGAAAGCCUUGGGGCUAAUACCCUCGAGGAAGGACAUCACCCACAGAAGAAGCACCGGCUAACUCCGUGCCAGCAGCCGCGGUAAUACGGAGGGGUGCGAGCGUUAAUCGGAAUUACUGGGCGUAAAGCGCGCGUAGGCGGUCUGAUAAGCCGGUUGUGAAAGCCCCGGGCUCAACCUGGGAACGGCAUCCGGAACUGUCAGGCUAGAGUGCAGGAGAGGAAGGUAGAAUUCCCGGUGUAGCGGUGAAAUGCGUAGAGAUCGGGAGGAAUACCAGUGGCGAAGGCGGCCUUCUGGACUGACACUGACGCUGAGGUGCGAAAGCGUGGGUAGCAAACAGGAUUAGAUACCCUGGUAGUC